CCUACGGGAGGCAGCAGUGGGGAAUAUUGGGCAAUGGACGCAAGUCUGACCCAGCAACGCCGCGUGAAGGAAGAAGGCUUUCGGGUUGUAAACUUCUUUUAAGGGGGAAGAGCAGAAGACGGUACCCCUUGAAUAAGCCACGGCUAACUACGUGCCAGCAGCCGCGGUAAUACGGAGGUGGCAAGCGUUGUCCGGAUUUACUGGGUGGAAAGGGCGUGCAGCCGGGGAGACAAGUCAGAGGUGAAAUCCACGGGCUCAACCCGUGAACUGCAUUGGAAACUGUUUCCCUUGAGUGUCGGAGAGGUAAUCGGAAUUCGUGGUGUAGCGGGGAAAUGCGUAGAUAUAAGGAAGAACACCGAUGGCGAAGGCGGAUUACUGGACGGUAACUGACGGUGAGGCGCGAAAGCGUGGGGAGCAAACAGGAUUAGAUACCCGGGUAGUC
rnacentral:rRNA from 1 species